rnacentral:misc_RNA from 1 species
GUUGGUGAAGGGUGGAAGGCUGGGUACCAGCUGAUGGUCAGCUUGCCUCUACGGAUGUUGCCUGCCUGAUUCGAGUUCCAUCUGAAGUGGUUAAGCAGAGGGCACAGGUAUCUGCUUCUACAAGAACAUUUCAGAUUUUCUCUAACAUCUUAUAUGAAGAGGGUAUCCAAGGGUUGUAUCGAGGCUAUAAAAGCACAGUUUUAAGAGAGAUUCCUUUUUCUUUGGUCCAGUUUCCCUUAUGGGAGUCCUUAAAAGUGGAUUUGCCGCUGCAGUCACCACCCCUCUAGACGUGGCAAAGACAAGAAUUACGCUGGCAAAGGCUGGCUCCAGCACUGCUGAUGGGAAUGUGCUCUCUGUCCUGCAUGGGGUCUGGCG